GGGUUUAUUGUUCGGAGUUUGCUCUCCUAGGCAGAUCGCCUACCACGGCUAACGAGCUCCACCUGCCCGGGUUUAUUGUUCGGAGUUUGCUCUCCUAGGUGAAUUGCCUACCACGGCUAACGAGCUCCACCUGCCCGGGUUUGUUUAGAGUUUGCUCUCCUAGGUGAAUUGCCUCCCACGGCUAACGAGCUCCACCUGCCCGGGUUUAUUGUUCGGAGUUUGCUCUCCUAGGUGAAUUGCCUACCACGGCUAACGAGCUCCACCUGCCCGGGUUUAUUGUUCGGAGUUUGCUCUCCUAGGUGAAUUGCCUACCACGGCUAACGAGCUCCACCUGCCCGGGUUUGUAUAGAGUUUGCUCUCCUAGGUGAAUUGCCUCCCACGGCUAACGAGCUCCACCUGCCCGGGUUUAUUGUUCGGAGUUUGCUCUCCUAGGUGAAUUGCCUACCACGGCUAACGAGCUCCACCUGCCCGGGUUUAUUGUUCGGAGUUUGCUCUCCUAGGUGAAUUGCCUACCACGGCUAACGAGCUCCACCUGCCCGGGUUUAUUGUUCGGAGUUUGCUCUCCUAGGUGAAUUGCCUACCACGGCUAACGAGCUCCACCUGCCCGGGUUUGUAUAGAGUUUGCUCUCCUAGGUGAAUUGCCUCCCACGGCUAACGAGCUCCACCUGCCCGGGUUUGUUUAGAGUUUGCUCUCCUAGGUGAAUUGCCUACCACGGCUAACGACCUCCACCUGCCCGGGUUUGUAUAGAGUUUGCUCUCCUAGGUGAAUUGCCUACCACGGCUAACGAGCUCCACCUGCCCGGGUUUGUAUAGAGUUUGCUCUCCUAGGUGAAUUGCCUACCACGGCUAACGAGCUCCACCUGCCCGGGUUUAUUGUUCGGAGUUUGCUCUCCUAGGUGAAUUGCCUACCACGGCUAACGACCUCCACCUGCCCGGGUUUGUAUAGAGUUUGCUCUCCUAGGUGAAUUGCCUACCACGGCUAACGACCUCCACCUGCCCGGGUUUGUAUAGAGUUUGCUCUCCUAGGUGAAUUGCCUACCACGGCUAACGACCUCCACCUGCCCGGGUUUGUAUAGAGUUUGCUCU